rnacentral:rRNA from 1 species
GACGAACGCUGGCGGCGUGCUUAGCACAUGCAAGUCGAACGGAAAGGCCCUGCUUUUGUGGGGUGCUCGAGUGGCGAACGGGUGAGUAACACGUGAGUAACCUGCCCUUGACUUUGGGCUCAUUUCAUGAAACUGGGGCUAAUACCGCAUAGGAGCUCCUCCUGCAUGGUGGUGCUUGUAACGUUUCGGCGGUUGGGGAUGUCCUCGCUGCUUAUCAGCUUGUUGUUCGGCUAGUGGCUUACCAAGGCUUUGACGGUUAGCCGGCCUGAGCGGGUAGACGGCCACAUUGGGACCUAGGGACGGCCCAAACUCGUACGGGAGGAAGCAGUGGGGAACAUUGCACAAUGGGCGGCAGCCUGAGGCAGGAACGCAGGGUGAGGAAUGAGUCCCUCAGGGUUGUAAACGGCUAUCGCAUGUGACGAAGCGUGAGUGACGGUAAUGGGUAAAGAAGCACCGGCUAACUACGUG